CGAAACACAAAACAUGCAAGGAUUGUUUGAUGCGCCUACCUUUCACCUGCUCACACAAGACACCGAAUUAGGUGAUGAUGUCGAUGAUACGCAUGACAAAAAUCAAGAAGGGAAGGGAACGGCUGAAAAUGAUAUCACACGUAAUGCUUGGAUAAAGGAACUUGAAUCAAGACGAAGAAAACCAGUUGGUAGGUUCAACCGCUCAUGUGAUGACCAUGAACAC